GUCGACAGACUAGAACCCCUAUGUAUAACCCCAUACACGGUUGACAGACUAGAACCCCUACGCACACACACACACACGGUCGACAGACUAGAACCCCUACGUACACACACUUUUAAAGGUGUGAUUUGACCUACAACUAAGACAGAUUGAAUGCGCUCAAAUUCAAUACCGUGGUUUCCACUACCACGUUAUAUCUGGGCUAGUCAGUGCUUGAUACCGCCAGAGUUGUUUGAAAUUGAGAAACUCAACAUGCAAUUACUUUACGCAAAUACCUUGUUGACAAAUUUGCAACUCCCUUUGACGAUGGUGUGAAAUUGUCAUGGGCGUUACAAUUUCAUGUUGUGGAGUCGCUCAGUUUUAAACGGCGAUAGAGUGGUACUGGACACCAUAUUGGCAAUAUUAGCAAAAUGCUAAUUUCAAAAAACAGUACCCUAAUGCAGGGGUAUUAAAAUCUGAGCCUGGAGGUCCAGCGUAGUGCUGCUCUAUCGGUUGACUAGAUGGGAUGCAGCGAUUGUCAGAAGGGACUUUUCCUUGCAGGUUAGCAGAAUUUACGCAGCAGGUUAUAAAAAUGGAAGUAGCAGGUUAGGAGAAUUAGGUUAGGGUUAGCUAAAAUGCAAAAAUUCCCCCAACGCCACUCGAACAUACUUUUGAUCUCACUUUGACAUUAGCUGCAACUGUUCUAGCCAUGGGGAAACGCUUAUCACGGCACUUUGAUACCGAAGUGACUUUUUCGUAGCAGGUUAGGAGACUGAGGUUAAUAAGGUUAGCGAAAAUGCUUUCCUAACCUGCUACAAAAAUAACUUUGUAUCAAAGUGUUGUGAAAAGACUGUCUCUGUAGCCAUGACCUGUUCUACUUGGGAAAUGAAUUGCACCCACAUGGUGUCCCAUGUCUAAAUCAAUGCCCGAUUAGAGGGAAAUAAUGAAAAACAGCAGUGGAACUGGCUUCAAGGUCCAGAUUUGAAUUUGCCUGCAGCUAGUGAAGUGGGUUGUUAUGAUCGACAGGACCUAAAGACCUAUACAUUCCCUAUUAAUUCUGAUAUUUAUUCACCUACGUUAUAUGCUUCAUUACACAUCAUGUUAGUUUAACUAGUUACAUGAAUAAACCAAGACUGAGACCUAUUAUUUGUUUUACAAUGAUAUGCAGACAUUAUUUUUUGAUGUUUAAGCUUUAACUUAUUUGUUUUUAAUUGUGACAAUGCAUUGUUGUUUUUCUGGUCCAAUGUCUCUUAUUUGUGCAUGUUUAUCAAACUAGCUCACCCUGUAGAAAAUGUUCUGUCCAAAGGGACAUUUUGUUAGUUUUAUACCUGUUCAUAUUAUGGAUAAAAUAAACUAGCUUGAUUUGACUUCCAUGGUGUAUUUUUGUUUAAGGGGUAGUAGUAUGCAUUCACAAAGCAUGCAGCUUCUUCUUCUGAGGAAUAAAGAUGGCA
ensembl:lncRNA